rnacentral:rRNA from 1 species
UACGUAGGGUCCGAGCGUUGUCCGGAAUUAUUGGGCGUAAAGGGCUCGUAGGCGGUUUGUUGCGUCGGGAGUGAAAACUUACAGCUUAACUGUGAGCGUGCUUCCGAUACGGGCAGACUUGAGGUAUUCAGGGGAGAACGGAAUUCCUGGUGUGAGCGGUGAAAUGCGCAGAUAUCAGGAGGAACACCGGUGGCGAAGGCGGGUCUCUGGGCCGAUACUGACGCUGAGGAGCGAAAGCGUGGGGAGCAAACAGG